CUUAGCUUUGGCACCUACACUUCAGUUCAUGGUUGCUCUACAACUAAGGAGAGGUUAAGACUGUCAAAAGGUCUCUUGGAUACCCAUUCCCUUUUUCUCACACAAAAAUAUUGUUUUGAGUUAUACUUAAUAGGUGAGUACUCAAAAAGACCUUCCUGUGGCAGGAACAUUUUUCAAGAGGUAAGUGUUCAUUUAAUGUGUGAUUUCAG
rnacentral:lncRNA from 14 species